GAUGAACGCUGGCGGCGUGCCUAAUACAUGCAAGUCGAGCGAACAGACGAGGAGCUUGCUCCUCUGCCGUUAGCGGCGGACGGGUGAGUAACACGUGGAUAACCUACCUAUAAGACUGGGAUAACUUCGGGAAACCGGAGCUAAUACCGGAUAAUAUAUUGAACCGCAUGGUUCAAUAGUGAAAGCCGGUUUUGCUGUCACUUAUAGAUGGAUCCGCGCCGCAUUAGCUAGUUGGUAAGGUAACGGCUUACCAAGGCAACGAUGCGUAGCCGACCUGAGAGGGUGAUCGGCCACACUGGAACUGAGACACGGUCCAGACUCCUACGGGAGGCAGCAGUAGGGAAUCUUGCGCAAUGGGCGAAAGCUUGACGGAGCAACGCCGCGUGAGUGAUGAAGGUCUUCGGAUCGUAAAACUCUGUUAGUAGGGAAGAACAAAAGUGAAAGUAACUAUGCACGUCUUGACGGUACCUAAUCAGAAAGCAACGGCUAACUACGUG
rnacentral:rRNA from 1 species